rnacentral:rRNA from 1 species
AGAGUUUGAUCCUGGCUCAGGAUUAACGCUGGCGGUAUGCCUAACACAUGCAAGUCGAACGGAAUACUAUUAAGAGAAUCUCACACUAGUGAGAGGUUCUCACGAGUAGUAUUUAGUGGCGGACGGGUGAGUAACACGUUGGAACCUGCCCCGAAGUGGGGAAUAACUGCUCGAAAGAGUAGCUAAUACCCCAUAGUAUCCGGUUUAUCCGGAUUAAAGAUUUAUCGCUUCGGGAGGGGCCUGCGUCUGAUUAGCUAGUUGGUGAGGUAAAAGCUCACCAAGGCGACGAUCAGUAGCUGGUUCGAGAGGAUGACCAGCCACACUGGGACUGAGAUACGGCCCAGACUCCUACGGGAGGCAGCAGUGAGGAAUCUUCCACAAUGGGCGCAAGCCUGAUGGAGCAAUACCGCGUGCAGGAAGACGCUUUUCGGAGUGUAAACUGCUUUUGUCGUCGAAGAUUAUGACUGUAGACGAAGAAUAAGGACCGGCUAACUACGUG